GCUGCGAGUGCGCCGGAACUAUACGACAUCCCUAGCGAGAGGCCGAUUCCUUCGCGGUCCGCGGGAGGUUCAACUCCUCUCUCGCGCACCA
rnacentral:tRNA from 1 species